AGUCCAUGGUGUAGACAAAUUUGCAUCAUGUCCUUGUAUCUCUCCCAAGCGUCAAAAAAAGACUCAUUGUCUUUUUGCUUAAAUCCGUUGAUUUGAGCUCUUAGCAU